rnacentral:rRNA from 1 species
UACGGAGGGGGCAAGCGUUGUUCGGAAUCAUUGGGCGUAAAGGGCGCGUAGGUGGUUCUGUAUGUCUACCGUGAAAGCGUACGGCUCAACUGUAUUUUGUCGGUAGAAACUGCAGGACUUGAGGCUGGGAGGGGCUGGUGGAAUUCCCUGUGUAGCGGUGAAAUGCGUAGAGAUGGGGGAGAACACUCGCGGCGAAGGCGGCCAGCUAGACCAGUUCUGACACUGAGGCGCGACAGCGUGGGGAGCAAACAGG